rnacentral:rRNA from 1 species
AGAGUUUGAUCCUGGCUCAGAACGAACGCUGGCGGCAGGCUUAACACAUGCAAGUCGAGCGGGUGCUUUCGGGCGUCAGCGGCGGACGGGUUAGUAACGCGUGGGAACGUGCCUUUUGCUUCGGAAUAGCCCUGGGAAACUGGGGGUAAUACCGGAUGUGCCCUGAGGGGGAAAGAUUUAUCGGCAAGAGAUCGGCCCGCGUUGGAUUAGGUAGUUGGUGGGGUAACGGCCCACCAAGCCGACGAUCCAUAGCUGGUUUGAGAGGAUGAUCAGCAACACUGGGACUGAGACACGGCCCAGACUCCUACGGGAGGCAGCAGUGGGGAAUCUUAGACAAUGGGCGAAAGCCUGAUCUAGCCAUGCCGCGUGGGUGAUGAAGGCCUUAGGGUCGUAAAGCCCUUUCGCCGGGGAAGAUAAUGACGGUACCCGGUAAAGAAACCCCGGCUAACUCCGUG